CGGCGAACGGGUGAGUAACACGUGAGCAACCUGCCCUAGGCUUUGGGAUAACCCUCGGAAACGGGGGCUAAUACCGAAUAUUACCGUUGACCGCAUGGUUGGUGGUGGAAAGUUUUUCGGCCUGGGAUGGGCUCGCGGCCUAUCAGCUUGUUGGUGGGGUGAUGGCCUACCAAGGCGACGACGGGUAGCCGGCCUGAGAGGGCGACCGGCCACACUGGGACUGAGACACGGCCCAGACUCCUACGGGAGGCAGCAGUGGGGAAUAUUGCACAAUGGGCGGAAGCCUGAUGCAGCGACGCCGCGUGAGGGAUGACGGCCUUCGGGUUGUAAACCUCUUUCAGCAGGGACGAAGCGUAAGUGACGGUACCUGCAGAAGAAGCGCCGGCCAACUACGUGCCAGCAGCCGCGGUAAGACGUAGGGCGCGAGCGUUGUCCGGAUUUAUUGGGCGUAAAGAGCUCGUAGGCGGCUUGUCGCGUCGACUGUGAAAACCCGCAGCUCAACUGCGGGCCUGCAGUCGAUACGGGCAGGCUAGAGUUCGGUAGGGGAGACUGGAAUUCCUGGUGUAGCGGUGAAAUGCGCAGAUAUCAGGAGGAACACCGGUGGCGAAGGCGGGUCUCUGGGCCGAUACUGACGCUGAGGA
rnacentral:rRNA from 1 species